AGUAACACGUGAAUCAUCUACCUUCGAGUGGGGAAUAACUGAGAGAAAUCUUAGCUAAUACCGCAUAAUACCUACGGGUCAAAGCAGCAAUGCGCUUGAAGAGGAGUUCGCGGCAGGUUAGUUAGUUGGCGGGGUAAUGGCCCACCAAGACGAUGAUCUGUAUCCGGCCUGAGAGGGCGCAUGGACACACUGGAACUGAAACACGGUCCAGACUCCUACGGGAGGCAGCAGUGGGGAAUUUUGCGCAAUGGGGGAAACCCUGACGCAGCAACGCCGCGUGGAGGAUGAAGUCUCUUGGGACGUAAAACCCUUUCGACGGGGAAGAAAGGCCGCAAGGCUUUGACGGUACCCGUAGAAGAAGCCCCGGCUAACUCCGUGCCAGCAGCCGCGGUAAUACGGGGGGGGCAAGCGUUGUUCGGAAUUACUGGGCGUAAAGGGCGCGUAGGCGGUCUGCUAAGUUGGAUGUGAAAACUCUGGGCUUAACCCAGAGCCUGCAUUCAAAACUGACAGGCUAAGUUCUGGAGGGGAUA
rnacentral:rRNA from 1 species